CCAGUCGCCUUCCCUUAUCACUUUUCCAGCCCAGCUUGGUGACUGAAAAUGCUGGACGGAAAACUGAUAAGGGUAGACGACUGA
rfam:Dipodomys ordii contig_15421, whole genome shotgun sequence.